AUACGUAGGGGGCGAGCGUUGUCCGGAAUGAUUGGGCGUAAAGGGCGCGUAGGCGGCCCGGUAAGUCUGGAGUGAAAGUCCUGUUUUUAAGAUGGGAAUUGCUUUGGAUACUGUCGGGCUUGAGUGCAGGAGAGGUAAGUGGAAUUCCCAGUGUAGCGGUGAAAUGCGUAGAGAUUGGGAGGAACACCAGUGGCGAAGGCGACUUACUGGACUGUAACUGACGCUGAGGCGCGAAAGUGUGGGGAGCAAACAGGAUUAGAUACCCUGGUAGUCCACACUGUAAACGAUGAAUGCUAGGUGUAGGGGGUAUCGACCCCUUUUGUGCCGGAGUCAACACAAUAAGCAUUCCGCCUGGGGAGUACGGCCGCAAGGUUGAAACUCAAAUGAAUUGACGGGG
rnacentral:rRNA from 1 species